CAAGAUUUAGCUAGAGUUAUCUCCCUUUGCAUAUGGAGAUAGAACAUUAUACAUUAUUGGUUUUUAAUUGCAGUUGUAUAAGUCCCCAGUUGCCAUAUUGUAAAUAAAUGCAUAUGCUUUUAGAUUCUUGAAUAAAUAAUAGUUUAGUACUUAGUCUUUGUAUAUAUUAGUAUACUUCUCAUCACACUUACAGUUAUUACAAACUACAGACAUGUGUCCUUUAGA
rnacentral:lncRNA from 1 species